UACGUAGGGGGCUAGCGUUGUCCGGAUUUAUUGGGCGUAAAGAGCGUGUAGGCGGCCAGGUAGGUCUGGUGUGAAAACUCGAGGCUUAACCUCGAGAUGUCAUCGGAAACCAUUUGGCUAGAGUCCGGAAGAGGAGAGUGGAAUUCCUGGUGUAGCGGUGAAAUGCGUAGAGAUCAGGAGGAACACCAGUGGCGAAGGCGGCUCACUGGCCCGGUACUGACGCUGAGGUGCGAAAGCGUGGGAGCAAACAGG
rnacentral:rRNA from 1 species